GCCCUCUCAGGAUCACACCUGGAGAAUUUCCAGUACUCUACCAGUCUUGGCUAUGGGAUGAAGAGUCAUGUAGAGGCCUACCCAUUCCAUUUCUAGCUUGGGCAGUCGCUAGCAAGUGGAAGUUAAUCUGCUACAAAU